rnacentral:rRNA from 1 species
UACGUAGGGUGCGAGCGUUAAUCGGAAUUACUGGGCGUAAAGCGUGCGUAGGCGGUUCUCCAAGUCCGUUGUGAAAGCCCCGGGCUCAACCUGGGAAUGGCAGUGGAAACUAGGGGACUGGAAUCUGGCAGAGGGGGGUGGAAUGCCGCGUGUAGCAGUGAAAUGCGUAGAGAUGCGGCGGAACACCGAUGGCGAAGGCAGCCCCCUGGGCCAAUACUGACGCUCAUGCACGAAAGCGUGGGGAGCAAACAGG